AAUGAACGCUGGCGGCGUGCAUAACACAUGCAAGUCGAACGAGAAAGCCCGGCUUGCCGGGUGAGUAAAGUGGCGAACGGGUGAGUAGCGCGUGGGUAACCUGCCCUUGAAUCUGGAAUAACCCGCCGAAAGGCGGACUAAUACCGGAUAUUGUCCCGGAGUCGCAUGGCACUGGGAUGAAAGAUGACCUCUUCACGAAAGUUGUCGUUCAGGGAGGGGCUCGCGUACCAUUAGCUAGUUGGUAGGGUAAUGGCCUACCAAGGCGACGAUGGUUAGCUGGUCUGAGAGGAUGAUCAGCCACACUGGAACUGAAACACGGUCCAGACUCCUACGGGAGGCAG
rnacentral:rRNA from 1 species